GGCAAAUUUUUUUAAUGACAAUACAUGGAUAAAACAAGAGGAUUCCGAAAAUCUGGCAAAAAAUCAAAAAAUGGAGGAGCAAACAUCCUUAAUAACAUUCAUAUCAUUUAAAUUAGAUCUUUUUUAUGAAAUCAUAAAUCUGUUUUUUUCAUCAUCAUCAUCUUUUCUUUUCAUUUAUUUUGUACAUGAUCAGAAAAGUAGCCUCAUUGCACCAUUUCAGAAUCUUAUGCAUCCUUGGUAAUAUUUUCAAAAGAUAACAUAAAAUUUGUUGUAAUUGGUUUAAAACAUUCGAAACAAAUAGAUGUGACAUUAUUUUUAUUUAGGUGUACCAAAAAAGAGAUUACCCAUAGUUCUUUAGAUUCUGAACAGGCAAAUUUACAUUUGCAGACCCUAAAAGAUUAUUGGUGUAAUUGAAUAAGUUUCUGAAACAGUGAACUUUUGAAAUGUUAUAUUAUUUUCUUGCCACAAAAGAGUAAAGAGUUUGACUUAAAUUUAACUAAAUCAUAUUAAUCAACUUUUGGGUGGUAAAAAAGAUUUUCUUGCCAUUUCGAGAUAAAUAACUCAAAUUAAAACUUUAUUCCUUUUAUUCAAUUUUUUCUGUGCAAAG
rnacentral:lncRNA from 1 species